AAGGAGCGCUCCUGAACCAAUACAUCCGUCGUCACCCUUUCAGCAACUACCGGUAGGACUGUGUUUUCCCUUCCCUUUCAUCAUACAGAUCACUGGACUUAAUCUCGUCACCUCUCAUUUCAUCUGAUGAUGCCAAGUCAUAGACACCCCACAAGAAGCUUAAACUGAGACAAACUGAUGGAUAAUAUGAAACGGGAAAGAAUUAAUCGGCAAAAGUACAGAGCAGCAGAGAGCGGAAGUUCAGAACAGCAGUGAGCAGAAGCACAGAGCAGCACUGUCUCCUACAUGGACGUAACUUUUCACAAACACCAGAGUGAAAAAAAAAUAGCUGAAAACAACUCCGCACUAAAUAAGCAGCGGAAGCAAACAAUGGCCAAAUAUGAGAUGAACUGCGUAGUCAAUGAAUUCCAGGCUCUCGACAUCCAGAUCCAGAAACUCCUGUACCAACGGAGACACCUGAGCGAUUUGAAAGCUUGUCUGCUGGAAAAAUUCUCCCAAUCAUCUGAAAUCAUUGCAGCAAAUCAUGGUUCAGUAACAUCGACUCCACGCUGUGCCACUCACUUUCAAGGCCAAGUGAGCUUUACCCCAACGCCUCGUUGUCGGAGCUAUGCAGUCUGGGGUUAAAAGCAAGAACGCCUCCAUCGGCACAGGCAAGCAUUUCCACCCAGAUCCAGUUUGCCUUCAACCCUGGCUGAUGUAUUUGUGAUUGGAGAUUCAAUCAUAUGAAGCCUAAAUAUCUCUUGCCCUAAUUAGAAAUCUUUUGUCUCUUGUUUUCCAAGUGCUCGUGUCCGAGAUGUUCUGAGAUGAGCACCGACAGUCUUUGAGAGGCACAAGAACAGGGCAGUGGGAUCCAUUGUGAUACACUCUGGGGUAAACGGUGUGAGACACAGAUAGUUGGAGAUUCUCAAGGCGGACUUCUCAACACUAAUUAAAGCCACUUAGGAGAGGACCCCAGCUGCAAGAAUCUUCAUCUUGGGUCCCUCACCUCUAGUUAGAAGAUUGAACGAGUAUUACAGUCAUCUACUGGCAUUAAACAUCUGGCUGAAAGGCUUCUGCGAGAGUCAAAACAUUGGGUUUGUAGACAACUGGGACCUCUUCUGGGAAAAGCUGCAUUUCUUCAAGCAGGAUGGUCUGCAUCCAAAUAGAUUUUGCGCUCGGGUCCUCUCCGAAAACCACACAUAAGUAAUUUUUGUCUCUUGACUGUUAAUUUUUAUUCCUAACCUUUUCCAAAAUGCUUUGCUAGGAUGGAAUAAUUCAGUGACAAAAUCUUCCUCCAAAGUGCACUACAGUAAUACUGUAAGAACUAACCUCAAUGCAUGUAAAAAAACUAGGCAGGGCGUCAUAAAUACGAAUAACUUGAUUACUAUUAUAACUCUAGAUGAACAAUGUAUGAAAACUAUAAACACAAA